rnacentral:lncRNA from 1 species
CAACAGGCUCUGCUGCUGCUCCACUCCCUAUGACAGGCCCUCUGGUUACCCCAGCCCUUACAUCUAAAACAGAGAAUCAACCUGUGCUGAUAUCAGUUGCUCCUAUAUACAAAAGAAAGAAACAAACAAAAAAAUGGCUGCAAAAAUCAGCUCAUUUGGUAAGAAAAGAAUCUCCUACUAAGAAGGAGAUGAAAGAAGAGGAUGAGGAAGACUGUGAUGAAACAGGGCCAUCACAUGGAUGGAAGGAGGAAGAGGCACAACUCAUAAAGGAAGUCAAUACCUGGAACAACCUUCACGUGCUACCAUAUCAGAAUUAGAUUCAGGGAGGCCACAUCUGGAGUACUGUGCCCACUUUUGGGCUCCUCAGUUCAAGAAAGAUGGUGAACUACUGGAGAGAGUCCAAUGAAAGGCAACAAAGAAAAUUAGGAGCCCAGUGCAUCUCCACUGUCUGGAAAGGCUUAAAGACCUGGGGCUUUAAGCCUGAAGAAGACUGAGUGAAAAAGACUG